UACGUAGGGUGCGAGCGUUGUCCGGAAUUAUUGGGCGUAAAGAGCUUGUAGGCGGUCUGUCGCGUCUGCUGUGAAAAUCCGGAGCUCAACCCCGGACUUGCAGUGGGUACGGGCAGACUAGAGUGUGGUAGGGGAGACUGGAAUUCCUGGUGUAGCGGUGAAAUGCGCAGAUAUCAGGAGGAACACCGAUGGCGAAGGCAGGUCUCUGGGCCACUACUGACGCUGAGAAGCGAAAGCAUGGGGAGCGAACAGG
rnacentral:rRNA from 1 species